AGACAGCCCGGGCGCUGCUGUAUCCAUGGCAACCGCCCCGUCUAUGAUCUCCAUGGAAACCUCUAGCCGCUACUGCAGCGCGAAGCAGUGGAAUUUUUUCUUAUAAUCUGCCACGUCAACACGGAGGACAUAAGAGAAAACUGAGAGUUUGGAAGGAAGAGUCAGCAUUUUGGCAAGUGCAUCCAUCCCAGAAGACUUCUCAGAGAGAACACGUAGACAAUGGAGACUGCUUGACCGAUGAGGGUGGACUCCACCUCACAAGCAUAGAUCUUUCCUGCAAUUUGAAAGAAACUGUAAAAGAGGGGAAGUGACAUCAUCACUUGGCCUCACUCCCCCCAUAACUGAACACCUGGAAACACAUCUGGAGGACAAAGACUUUGAACCGGGGAGGGUCAUCCCAGGCUGGGAGGCAGUUCCAGCCUGUAUAUUGAAGAUCUGCAACCUGUUUAUACCAUCUGUCAGGGUGAGACACUGCUUAAUUCAAAUCCCGUUUAGAUUGUAGAAUUCAGACUGUGAAUUUAGUUUUGUUUCUUAGGUAACCAACUUUUAUCUGUAUGCUUGCUACUUAUAAUCACUUAAAAUCUAUC